rnacentral:lncRNA from 1 species
UAUUGUUGAUGCACAAAAUCAGCGAGGACUUUGGUACAACAGCAAGUGUCAGGUUUGUGACCUUCGCUUGGUUGCUUCGAUCACUAGUGAAGAUAAGUACGUAAAUGAAUAGGGACAGGGAAGCAAACACAAGAUGUACGUGGUUCACCCAGAUCAGCUACGUCCACGGAGUAGAGGAGUUCUCAUUAAUUGUGAAGAGUUUACACAAAUACAUAGGUUCAAGCUCUCAUUUUGUGAGUUUUAGUGAAUAGUUUAGUACAAAAUGACAUUAGAGAUUAUUGUGGGAGAAUGAUCCCUAUUUAUAGAGGAGAGUUUCUAGUUUUGUUCUAACAUCGACACAUGUCGUGUUGUGAUU